rnacentral:lncRNA from 1 species
UUUUGCCUUCAAACCUGGCAAAUACCAGGCUAAGAAGUUCUGCCUAGAACCAACUUCCUUCACUGUCAAGGCUGAGAGUGUCAACAAGAAUGCCCCACCAGAUUUCCAGAACACCAAGCUCAUGACCCGCCUUACCUACACCCUUGACGAGAUUGAGGGACCUUUUGAAGUGUCCCCCGAUGGCACCAUUAAGUUUGUGGAGAAGGAUGGAAUUGACUAUGCUGCUGUGACAGUUCAGCUGCCUGGAGGCGAGCGUGUGCCCUUCCUUUUCACCAUCAAACAAUUGGUAGCAUCAGGCAAGCCUGAGAAUUUCGGAGGAGAGUUCCUUGUACCAUCAUACCGUGGAUCAUCCUUCUUGGACCCAAAGGGAAGGGGUGGUUCAACUGGUUAUGACAAUGCUAUUGCAUUGCCUGCUGGCGGAAGAGGGGAUGAGGAAGAUCUCGCCAAGGAGAAUAUCAAGAAUACUUCAUCUUCAACAGGGAAGAUCACCCUCAGCGUUACCAAGAGCAAGCCUGAGACUGGAGAGGUUAUUGGAGUGUUUGAGAGCCUUCAGCCAUCUGAUACUGAUAUGGGAGCCAAGGUUCCAAAGGAUGUUAAGAUCCAGGGUAUCUGGUAUGCACAGCUUGAGCAAUAGAGCUUUUCUUGUAUGAGUGUACUUAUUCCUAUUCAGAUUUUGAAACAUGUUGAAGGUGUUGCUAAACAUUUCUGUAAUUCAAUUUAGUAGCACUGAGAAUGUUGUCAUGUCUGUAUAUUAUCGUGGCAUGCUAUAAUAAUGCUUGCAAUUCUGAACGGUGAUGGGUUUGAGUGAUUUGAGGCCUGAACACACCUCUCACCAGUGAUAUCGAAAGCCUGGAGACAUUUCCACAUGUAGCCUAUAGCCGCCCAUCCCAUUAUGGGAUUCUCCUGAUCGGGAAUAGCCUGAUGCAGUGAUUGGAAUUGACAUUGUUAAUGUUCAUCCUGUUAUUACCUCAAAACUUAUUAGCCCAUGGAAGGUCAGAAAUGAGGCCAUAGAAGGUCAUAAAUGAUCAUCUUUCCAGGUCGCUAGCACUAUUUAUUAAACUCCUGGCCGUGGAGAAUGAAUAUGCCAACUCUUGCCAAAAUGUAUUCCGGCUUCAGAUAUCAGGGAAACUUUAUUGCUCUAACUUAAUUAGAGGCUAC